rnacentral:rRNA from 1 species
GACGAACGCUGGCGGCGUGCCUAAUACAUGCAAGUCGAGCGAAUCAAUGGGAGCUUGCUCCCUGAGAUUAGCGGCGGACGGGUGAGUAACACGUGGGUAACCUGCCUGUAAGACUGGGAUAACUUCGGGAAACCGGAGCUAAUACCGGAUACGUUCUUUUCUCGCAUGAGAAGAGAUGGAAAGAUGGUUCUGCUAUCACUUACAGAUGGACCCGCGGCGCAUUAGCUAGUUGGUGAGGUAACGGCUCACCAAGGCGACGAUGCGUAGCCGACCUGAGAGGGUGAUCGGCCACACUGGGACUGAGACACGGCCCAGACUCCUACGGGAGGCAGCAGUAGGGAAUCUUCCGCAAUGGACGAAAGUCUGACGGAGCAACGCCGCGUGAGCGAAGAAGGCCUUCGGGUCGUAAAGCUCUGUUGUUAGGGAAGAACAAGUACGAGAGUAACUGCUCGUACCUUGACGGUACCUAACCAGAAAGCCACGGCUAACUACGUGCCAGCCGCCGCGGUAA